ensembl:lncRNA
AAGAAAGCCACAGUUGCUUUCUUGCUAUUCCUUAACUGCCUUCCAUUCACUUCUCCUCUGUACUUGUUGUUCUCUCUGCCUGGAAUACUCUGUUUCUCUCAAUACCCACAUGGCUCACUGUUCUUUUCCUCUUUUUGGGUCUGUGUUCUAAUGUUACUUUCUCCAUGAGAACUUUCCAUGCCUUUGAGGGUUGUGGCUAGAAGGGGGCAUGUGUGGCUUCUGAAAUGUUAUCUUCUAUUUCUUGAUCCAGGUGCUUGUAACAUUUUUUGUGUUCAAUGUGUUAACAUUCAGAAAGCUUAAAUUUUGUCUUGUGCACUUCUGUAUGUGUUUGUUGUACUUAAGUUGAAAACAAAUACUCUCACUCCCAUCUCACUCUGUUUCUCACCUUGUGUUAUUUUAUCUUCAUGGCCCUUACACUACCUGAUGUUGUCUUACAUCCUAAUUCUCAAUGUCUGUCAUCUCCCAUGCCACAUGGAAAUUUCAUGAAACAGGGAUUUGGUCUUUUCUCCUGCUCUAUUCCCAGGAUUUAAUACAGUGCCCAAUACGUAGGGGAAAACAUCACUGUUGAAUGAAUGCAUGAGAAGCUACUGGAUACCUUAAGCAACUAGAAGGUGUAACAAAAACUGGGGAGGUGGCUCAGCUAAUUCAUCUGGUGCUUAAGUUGUAAAGGUCUCGGACAGGCCUCUCUGCUCACAGAUCUCCUCUCUCCUCAGAAUCAUCUGUUCCAUCUGACCUGCUCUCUCGACUCUCUGCGACAGAGUUUGGUUCCUUUCCCACAGUUGCUCCUCAGCACCCACUGAUCUUAUACAUGAACCUCCUCACCAAGGAACCACCUUUGAGCAUCCAUGCGGUGUUGGGUCAGGUGCCAAAGAACAAAGUGUCUCAGACUUGGGCCAAUGAUUCUGUUUCAUCCACGUUGAGAAAACAGAAGCUCAUGGAAUCAUAUCCAAAGCUUAUCCCAGAUCUGCCUGAUGACUACUUGUGCUCCUAAUCACCUCACAUUGGGUACCUCUUGAAGAGAUGAAUUGUAAUAGGGUGAAACAGAAUUCUGGAAUUCCAACUCAAAAGAUCAGAAGUGCAAAUUCAAGAUUUGGAAACCCUGGCUUGCCAGUAAUUGAUGUGAUUAAAUACCUUAGGCCUUUUUUUUUUUUUUUUUUUUUUUUUUAAAUCACAAGUUCGAUAGGAGUCAACAGAGUGAGGAUGCUGCCCAGAACACACAAGUAGGUAAGCCUCCAUUCCUUUGCAAGGAUGCAUGCUAUUCUGUCCUGGGACAGCACCAUUUGGGGCACCUGAUUUCAGUGGUAUGUUAGUACAAAAGUAAUUGAGGUUUUUGCAAUUUUUUUUUUUUUUUUGGUGGCUAAAAAAAAAAAAAUCUAAAUUAUUUUUAGAUUGAUUGAUUGAUUAAUAGCACCUGUAGCUUUUGUUUUCCAGUGAUACAAUUGUAAGGUUAUUGACAGUUUGGAGGGAAAUCGACAUUGACAGGUUGGAGGGGAAUUUCCACUGAAGGGGAAUUAGGUGAUAAGGAGUUUUGGAAACCAUAAUAUGUGAGAAAAAAAUUUAAAAAUGGAAUAUGUGUAACCUACAACCCAGAAGACUUUAGGGUGAUAUAGAUAACUUCUAUAUUCCAUAUAGAAGAUGGCACACUCUUGCUUAGUACUGAUUCAGAAAUUAUAGAUAAAAUCACAUGAUCUGUUGGGACAGUGGUUGCAACCUGGGUAGUGAAUUGGUGUAAGAUGCGGUGAGCUCCGUGACUUUGGCCAUCAGACAGGAAUGCUUUAGAGAGGGCUGCUGCCCUGAGGAGGUUCUUCUCCCUGUGCUGACUCCUGAAAUGCUGAUUUCAGUACUUUACUUAGUUUGCCUGUGUGCUCAGUCAUCUAACUUAUGAUAUAGUUAGGAAAGUGGUACUUCUGCUUAACAAAAUCACAAAUGAAAAUAGCAUUUUAGAGGGCGAAUGUUGACUCCUCACUCCUGAUGUUUCACUUCAUGGAGGGAGCUCCAUUAGUUUCACACCCCUGGACUCUUUCUGCCCCUCUACUUGCGCUCUACCAUUGAAGGAUGAGAGAGGAUAGAUUUUUGCACUAUACAAAUUUAGGAGUUGGUAGAGUGCAGUGGCACACACCUGUAAUCCCAAAACUUUGGGAGUCCGAGGCAGGAGGAUCACGAAAUUAGGAGUUUGAGAUCAGGCUGACCAACAUGGUGAAACCCUGUCUCUACUAAAAAUAUAAAAAUUAACUGGGCAUGGUGGCACGUGCCUGUAAUCCCAGCUACUCAGGAGGCUGAGGCAGGAGAAUCACUUGAACCUGGGAGGUGGAGGUUGCAGUGAGCGGAGAUCACGCCACUGCACUCCAGCCUGGGCAACAGAGCAAGACUCCAUCUUAAAAAAAAAAAAAGGAAUUAGGAGUCAUAAACGUGACAUUCUUCGUUCAGAAACUUCCUUUUUUUCUCUUGGGAGUGCAUGAGCCA